rnacentral:rRNA from 1 species
AGUGAACGCUGGCGGUAGGCCUAACACAUGCAAGUCGAACGGCAGCACAGUAAGAGCUUGCUCUUACGGGUGGCGAGUGGCGGACGGGUGAGGAAUACAUCGGAAUCUACUUUUUCGUGGGGGAUAACGUAGGGAAACUUACGCUAAUACCGCAUACGACCUACGGGUGAAAGCAGGGGAUCUUCGGACCUUGCGCGAUUGAAUGAGCCGAUGUCGGAUUAGCUAGUUGGCGGGGUAAAGGCCCACCAAGGCGACGAUCCGUAGCUGGUCUGAGAGGAUGAUCAGCCACACUGAAACUGAGACACGGUCCAGACUCCUACGGGAGGCAGCAGUGGGGAAUAUUGGACAAUGGGCGCAAGCCUGAUCCAGCCAUACCGCGUGGGUGAAGAAGGCCUUCGGGUUGUAAAGCCCUUCUGUUGGGAAAGAAAAGCAGCAGGUUAAUACCCCGCUGUUCUGACGGUACCCAAAGAAUAAGCACCGGCUAACUUCGUG